UAAUACCGGAUGGUUGUUUGAACCGCAUGGUUCAAACAUAAAAGGUGGCUUUGGCUACCACUUACAGAUGGACCCGCGGCGCAUUAGCUAGUUGGUGAGGUAACGGCUCACCAAGGCAACGAUGCGUAGCCGACCUGAGAGGGUGAUCGGCCACACUGGGACUGAGACUUGGCCCAGACUCCUACGGGAGGCAGCAGUAGGGAAUCUUCCGCAAUGGACGAAAGUCUGACGGAGCAACGCCGCGUGAGUGAUGAAGGUUUUCGGAUCGUAAAGCUCUGUUGUUAGGGAAGAACAAGUACCGUUCGAAUAGGGCGGUACCUUGACGGUACCUAACCAGAAAGCCACGGCUAACUACGUGCCAGUAGCCGCGGUAAUACGUAGGUGGCAAGCGUUGUCCGGAAUUAUUGGGCGUAAAGGGCUCGCAGGCGGUUUCUUAAGUCUGAUGUGAAA
rnacentral:rRNA from 1 species